CAUACCUAAAACGUUGCUUCGGCGGGAACAGACGGCCCUGUAACAACGGGCCGCCCCCGCCAGAGGACCCCUAACUCUGUUUUUAUAAUGUUUUUCUGAGUAAACAAGCAAAUAAAUUAAAACUUUCAACAACGGAUCUCUUGGCUCUGGCAUCGAUGAAGAACGCAGCGAAAUGCGAUAAGUAAUGUGAAUUGCAGAAUUCAGUGAAUCAUCGAAUCUUUGAACGCACAUUGCGCCCGCCAGUAUUCUGGCGGGCAUGCCUGUUCGAGCGUCAUUACAACCCUCAGGCCCCCGGGCCUGGCGUUGGGGAUCGGCGGAAGCCCCCUGUGGGCACACGCCGUCCCUCAAAUACAGUGGCGGUCCCGCCGCAGCUUCCAUUGCGUAGUAGCUAACACCUCGCAACUGGAGAGCGGCGCGGCCAUGCCGUAAAACACCCAACUUCUGAAUGUUGACCUCGAAUC
rnacentral:rRNA from 1 species